CAAAGCACAUCUAAAAACUAGAGGCUGUCAUUUUGCGGACGUCAGCCAAAAAAUUGUUUCGGCUCGUCUUCACAGAAACUGAGAGAGAAGAAAAUAUAUUGCAAAAAUGGCGAAUUUUGUUCUGCGACUGCCAGCAACCAGCUGCAGGAGCUUCUCUAUCUCAGCAUCAUCCAACGGGGCUGCUCCUGGCAAUGAUAUUGGUAAAUCACAAAAUGGGGGCCCAGUGAUUUUGGAGCUUCCACUGAAUAAGAUAAGGAGGCCCCUACUGCGAACCAGAGCUAAUGAUCCAAAUAAAGUCCAAGAACUGAUGGACAGUAUUAAACAAAUUGGUCUCCAAGUCCCUGUAUUUAUAUAUCAUUUUCUGCUUUCUCUGCAGUUAUUUUCCUUUUUUUUUCGGUUCUUUUGCUUUUGUUUUAUCUUUACUUCCGAUUCGUCUGGACUUCUUUUGGAAUAAAUCAUUUGCAAUUUAUAUUUCUUUGAAAAUGAAUUUUUUUCUAAGUAAAAAAAUUGAAUUCUAAACGUGAGAAUUGAAAAUCAAUUGAAUUGAUAUUCCAAACAGGGAGUUAAUGAAUUCUUUGCAAUUGCGAAAGGGUAUACGCAGUGGAAAUAAGGAUUGAUGUGCUAGAGGUUGAUGGAGUUUACUAUGGCUGUCAUAGGUACGAAGCACACCAGCGGCUUGGUCUCCCAACAAUCCGCUGCAAAGUUCGACGUGGAACAAAAGAAACUCUGAGGCAUCAUCUUCGGUAAUUCUUAGCGGAUUGAGUGAACUAUGCAAAUUUGCGUAUCUUCUGGCAGUUAUUGUAACGCACAUUUGUAGACUCACCAGAUACUUACAAGUAAUUAUGGGAUUUUCUGUUAGUACUUAAAUACACAUUUAUAUACAGUUUCUCCAAUGUAUAUUUCUUAAAAGUGAUUGGCUUCGUCAUAAGCUGCUAUUAUUACGGCAGUUUGUAUUUCUUAGCAAAAGCAAAAAACUGGAAUAAAAUUAAAGCGCUUUGUUCUAUUAA